GGGCUCGUGAUCUAGUGGCUAUGAUGCUUCCUUGACGUGGAAGAUGUCCCCAGUUCGAAUCUGGGCGAGCCCA
rnacentral:tRNA from 1 species